CAGGCCUAACMCMUGCAAGUCGAACGGAGUAUAUUUAAAAGCUUGCUUUUGUUUAUACUUAGUGGCAGACGGGUGAGUAACACGUAUCCAACCUUUCCCUUACUUCGGUAUAGCCUCUGGAAACGGAGAGUAAUCCCGGAUGAAGUGUACGAUAAGCAUUUUUUGCACACCAAAGAUUUAUCGGUAAGGGGUGGGGAUGCGUUCCAUUAGGUAGUAGGCGGGGCAACGGCCCACCUAGCCGAUGAUGGAUAGGGGUUCUGAGAGGAAGGUCCCCCACAUUGGAACUGCGACACGGUCCAAACUCCUACGGGAGGCAGCAGUGAGGAAUAUUGGUCAAUGGUCGGAAGACUGAACCAGCCAAGUAGCGUGCAGGAUGACGGCCCUAUGGGUUGUAAACUGCUUUUGUGCGGGAAUAACGGUAGCCCACGUGUGGUUGCGUGCAUGUACCCGUACGAAUAAAGGAUCGGCUAACUCCGUUGCCAGCAGCCCGCGGKUAAUACGGAGGAUCCGAGCCGUUAUCCCGGAUUUAUUUGGGUUUAAAGGGAGCGUAGGCGGAGGAUCAAGUCAGUUGUGAAAUGUAGACGCUCAACGUCUGCACUGCAGUUGAAACUGGUUCCCUUGAGUGCGUAAGAGGCAGGCGGAAUUCGUCGUGUAGCGGUGAAAUGCUUAGAUAUGACGAAGAACUCCGAUCGCGAAGGCAGCUUGCCGGGCCGCAACUGACGCUGAAGCUCGAAGGUGCGGGUAUCGAACAGGAUUAGAUACCCUGGUAGUCCGCACAGUAAACGAUGGAUACUCGCUGUCGGCGAUAUACGGUCGGUGGCCAAGCGAAAGCGUUAAGUAUCCCACCUGGGGAGUACGCCGGCAACGGUGAAACUCAAAGGAAUUGACGGGGGCCCGCACAAGCAGUGGAUUAUGUGGUUUAAUUCGAAGCAACGCGAAGAACCUUACCAGGUCUUGACAUCCGACUAACGAAAUAGAGAUAUAUCAGGUGCCCUUCGGGGAAAGUCGAGACAGGUGGUGCAUGGUUGUCGUCAGCUCGUGUCGUGAGAUGUUGGGUUAAGUCCCGCAACGAGCGCAACCCUUGUCCAUAGUAGCCAGCAGUAAGAUGGGCACUCUAUGGAGACUGCCAGGGAUAACCUGGAGGAAGGUGGGGAUGACGUCAAAUCAUCAUGCCCCUUAUGAUCUGGGCCACACACGUGCUACAAUGUCGUAACAAAGGGAAGCGACGGAGCGAUCCUGAGCAAAUCUCAAAAAUAACGACCCAGUUCGGACUGUAGGCUGCAACCCGCCUGCACGAAGCUGGAAUCGCUAGUAAUCGCAGAUCAGCAUGCUGCGGUGAAUACGUUCCCGG
rnacentral:rRNA from 1 species